rnacentral:rRNA from 1 species
UCAGUUGGGCACUCUAAGGUGACUGCCGGUGACAAACCGGAGGAAGGUGGGGAUGACGUCAAAUCAUCAUGCCCCUUAUGACCUGGGCUACACACGUGCUACAAUGGACAGAACAAAGGGCAGCGAAACCGCGAGGUUAAGCCAAUCCCACAAAUCUGUUCUCAGUUCGGAUCGCAGUCUGCAACUCGACUGCGUGAAGCUGGAAUCGCUAGUAAUCGCGGAUCAGCAUGCCGCGGUGAAUACGUUCCCGGGCCUUGUACACACCGCCCGUCACACCACGAGAGUUUGUAACACCCGAAGUCGGUGAGGUAACCUUUUAGGAGCCAGCCGCCGAAGGUGGGACAGAUGA